GGCCACGUAGCUCAGCUGGUAGAUCAUGCGCGUACGAAGCGUAGGCGGCGUCCACACGUGGGUUUGAAUCCCACCGAGGCUA
rfam:Echinostoma caproni strain Egypt genome assembly, scaffold: ECPE_scaffold0008258